UACGUAGGGCGCAAGCGUUGUCCGGAAUUAUUGGGCGUAAAGAGCUCGUAGGCGGUUUGUCGCGUCUGCUGUGAAAACCUGAGGCUCAACUCCGGGCUUGCGGGCGAUACGGGCAGGCUAGAGUUCGGUAGGGGAGACUGGAAUUCCUGGUGUAGCGGUGAAAUGCGCAGAUAUCAGGAGGAACACCGGUGGCGAAGGCGGGUCUCUGGGCCGAUACUGACGCUGAGGAGCGAAAGCGUGGGGAGCGAACAGG
rnacentral:rRNA from 1 species